GCUUUAGUGGUGUAGUGGUCAGUACGCUCGACGCGUACCCGAGAGGUCCGUGGUUCGAAUCCCGGCGAAGGCG
rnacentral:tRNA from 1 species